UGCCUCGAGGUGGCUGAGCUUGCUGGAUGUCAGCCUGGAGCAGCCGUGGCCACCGGGCCACAUGAGAGGAGAGACUGCCUGAGAAUGCAGCCACCGCAGGGCAAAGCCAAGCUGAGAGACGGAGACAGCCUGAGGCUGAAAAACAUCCCUGGUGCUCCCGGAUCCAGCUGUGUCUGCAGCAGACCUAGUCCUGAACUUCUCAGAUUGGUUUAGCAGCAUCCUGGGCCUCUACCCACUAGAUGCCAGCAGUGCCACCCAUCCCGAGUUGUGACAAUCACAGAUAUCUUCAGACAUUGCCAAAUGUUUCCUGCGGGGCAAAAUCACCCGAUUGAGCAUCUCUGCUAACUGCGUUUGCUCAUUUUGCUCGAGAAUUCCCCACCCCCAUCCCAUGGCCUCUGGGACAAUGGACCUCAGCCAAGCCUCGAAGGGUGGAUUCCAGUGGCUCUGAGCCAAUCACAGUGUCCCUUUCCCCCCACUGCUGAUUGGUAUAGGCUGUGUGUAGAAAGCCAUUCUGGCCAAUGAGACAUGUUGAGAAAUCUGCUGGAGGCUUCUGGGAAAGGUUUCCUUGCUCUUCAAAAGAGAUAGAGACUUACCUCACUUAGCAUAAUGCAGAAUUUCCUUCUUUUUAAAGGCUGAAUAUUUCGUUGUAUGUAUAUUUCACAGUUUCUUUAUCCAUUCAUUCUUUGAUGGAUAUUUAGGUUGUUUCCACAUCUUGGCUAUUGUGACUAAUGCUGCAACGCACAUGGGAGUGCAAAUAUCUGUCUGAGAUCCUGAUUUCAAUAGUUUUGGAUAAUUACCCAGAAGUAGGAUUGCUGGAUCAUUAUGCUAAGUGAAAUAAGCCAGUCACAGAAGGACAAAUAUUUAUGAUUCCAAUAGCCAAACUCACAGAGGCAGAGAGUAGAAUGGUGGUUGCCAGGGGCUGGGGGGAACGAUGAGUGCUACUCAACAGGUACAAAGUUUCAGUUAUGCAAGAUAAAUUAGUUCUUGAAGUCCUCUGCUCAACAUCAUGCCUAUAGUUAACAAUAUUGUAUUGCGCGCUUAAAAAAGUGUUAAAAGGGGCAGGUCUCAUGUUAAAUGUUCUUACAAUAAAACAUUUAUAAAACAUUA